CAGGAACGCUGGCGGCAGGCUUAACACAUGCAAGUCGAGCGCCCCGCAAGGGGAGCGGCAGACGGGUGAGUAUCGCGUGGGAACCUACCCUUUUCUACGGAAUAACGCAUGGAAACGUGUGCUAAUACCGUAUACGCCCUACGGGGGAAAGAUUUAUCGGAGAAGGCAGGGCCCGCGUUGGAUUAGCUAGUUGGUGGGGUAAAGGCCUACCAAGGCGACGAUCCAUAGCGGGUCUGAGAGGAUGAUCAGCAACAUUGGGACUGAGACACGGCCCAAACUCCUACGGGAGGCAGCAAUGGGGAAUAUUGGACAAUGGGCGCAAGCCUGAUCCAGCCAUGCCGCGUGAGUGAUGAAGGCCCUAGGGUUGUAAAGCUCUUUCACCGGAGAAGAUAAUGACGGUAUCCGGAGAAGAAGCCCCGGCUAACUUCGUGCCAGCCGCCGCGGUAAUAC
rnacentral:rRNA from 1 species